CUUAAAUACAAUUCCCUGCCUUCCAUCUCCAAACAAAAUUACAUUUAAUAAUUAAAAACAUAAAAACACAAAAAAUAAAUGUGUGCCCCCACAAUAAUAACAUGUUUGGCUCUGGCAUGAAAUAAAGAUUUUAUAUAUAUCUAAUAUAUAUAUAAAUAAUUUUCAUUUUUAUUUUUUUUUUACAUUUUUUUUCUUUAAAUUUCCAGGACGGUUUGUACAAAACUGUAAACUAUUUUCAUUUUUAAUGUCUCUUUUGUGUUUUUUUUUUUAUUUUUUAAGUGUUCAUGGUGAUAAUAGGAUGGGGAAAUAUGGUGUUUGGUGCACUUUCAGAAGGCAUCUGGUGGGAAGUUAACACGUGUUUCAUAUGGGAUGGCUUUUGCUGGAAGAAGUUGGGAUAUUAGGGUUCAGAAGAAAAUAAGCACUCAGUGGGUACUCUAUUUUGUAGAGCCUGUUUUCAGCUAGGGGUAUUUUAGACACUUGAUUUCUUUCAUAUUCUUGUUGAACGUUUUGUUUGUCUAUGGAAUAGGAACCCGGCUUUUUAAUUUUUUUUUAUUUAAAAUGUUUUUAUUAUUAAUUCUUUACUCUUUGUAUAGCAUGAUGUUUAGGAUUCAUAGUUUUGUGGAUAUAUUUAUGAGUCUGUAGGUCAAUGUUAGAAUGCGGAUCUCAUAAAACGUGUUCUAAUGCAACUCCUCAGGGAACCAUGAUGGACUAAGACAAAAAUAACUCCCAAUAUUGAAGGGGCUCUCUAAGAGCCAAAACCACUAUAGCUCAUUGUAGAGAUUAUGAUGCUACGAGCCAGUGAGCCCUGGCAUUCCAUUUUGGUGUAGUUUGAAAAAAAACUGGGGCUGACCCCAGCACCCAUAUUUCACCCCUUUAUUGGUUAAACCAAUAAUGCAGAAAUUAUAAUUCUGCAUUAUGGAAUACAAAUCCAUCCAAUAAUCCAAUGAUAAGUACUAAGCGCUACCAUUAGGAGUUUCCUGAGGAUUUAUUUAAUAACUCCUUGCAUACAUUGACUGUAAAUACUGAACAUUUUAACUGCCAUCAAAGUAUAUGCGUCCUCUGUGAUCGAGAUAUUUUAUUGAAGCAAAUCUUGACAAGUAGGAUUUGCUGCAUUUAGAUAACAAAAAAAUAAAAUGGAAAAGUUUGAGAAUAUUCCAUGCUUCAACAAAAAUGUACACAAUAAAUGUUUUUGUUUGUAGUAGGAAAAAGUUGACAAUGGCUUUCACAUACAUUCCUGUAGGGUCCAUGUCCAUGCAUUUUUUUUUAAGUAAUCAGCACUGCAUUACAUUUUGCAAUAUGAUCAGGUUCCCAGUAAACCAAACAUCUGGGGAUGUUUCAAACAAUGUUAGGGAUAUUGCAUUUUAAACCCUAGCUAAUGAUUCUACUGUAGGAGAAAAAAACAAAACACUUUUUAUCACUAAGAAUCUUUUAACAUUUUAUUAUGAUCUAUUUAACUUGUAGAAAGUAUAUAUUUUUCCAUCUACAAAAUAAAUAACAUGACUUUGGUUUAAACUGGCAUUUUGGUUGUGACUCUUUUUAUGGAUGUUAGCAUUAUAAACACUUAACAUUGGUGCUGUUUAGAAAAAAAAAAGUUAAGAAAAAGCCAAAUAAACAAAAAACAAACAUGUUUGCAGGAACCUUGUCCCUGAUGGCAGCUAACAUGGCUCUCGAUGAAAGAUUUGACAAAGGUGGUGGUAAGGUUUUUUUCUAUUUUCUUUUUUUACACAGCAAAUUUUCGCAAUUUAUGUUUCUGUGCUGCUCUGUUAAUACCCAGUGAAAUAGUUAUGAGAGAUGAAUGUUUAUAUGUCUCAUAAAAUGUAUUUUUAAAACUUUAAAAUUGUUACCCAAUGUAUUACAGAAUAUUAGCGUUAUUGUUCUUUCUAUAUACUUUAUAGAAUCAGAUAUUUAUUUUUAUUACUUUUUUUUUUUUUAUCUUACACAGCAAAUGUGACGAUCACUAAUUGUAAAUUGUAUUAUUUCUCACCAGUACCAUAUAGCAAAAGAAACUCUGAUGACUUUUGUGUUUGGGCAUUUAAUCGUUCUCAAAUUUGCACAGUUUGCAGUUGAAAGAUUGCCCUCAGCUAGGCACCAGUAAAUGUAGGAUUGUUAGCCCCCAUAAGCACUGAUAAGUAACUUUCUUAAGUGAUAAAAAUUAUUCAUUUUGUGCUUGCUACUUUAGUAACAUUGCAAUUUAAAUCUCAUAACACAUUGUAACAAUACCUAGUUAAUGUGACUUGUCACUUGAAAAAUAUUUUAUUCAACAGAACAUAAAAAAAUGCUAUUUAACAUUUACUACAAUAUUUUCAAUAGUAGCAGCCUGCCUGGUUUUGAAACCCAUUACACAAUGCACAUUUUGUGCACUUAUUUAUAAUGCAUUUUAUACAGUGUACAGGUAAAAAGUGAACCGCAAGCCAUGUCUGCAACUAUGGUGCAACUAUGUUAUAAAAUACAUUUGAAACUACUAAGCUGCUUUUAAAAACAAAACAAAAAAAACAGUAGUGGAUUUUUGUGCUUUACUGAUUCACAUGAAGACACUGGUGCAAUCACACAAAGGUGAAACCUCCUAAAAUAAAUUUCUGGAUAAUUUUCCAGACACACAGACGAGCAUGUUAAUGACUCCAUUCCAAACCAACAGUGAAUCCCUUCACUGACCGUACCUGACUAUAUUGACAGGUGUGAAGUAGGCAAUGGUGGGGACCAGUACUGACAUGUAUUGAGUUAAUUUGGUAAUAGUGUUCAUUGAAGUGAAUCCUCUCCAAGUUUAUUGUAGUGCUGACUUUAAGGGUGUUAUGGGAAACUGCCAAUGAUGCACUUUGUAUCCAGUAGUGAUGUCCAGAGUCAAAAAGGGCAAAUGUCAUCACAGCAUGUAUGUGCAAUCGGUUGACAGGCUGCACAGCAAAGAGUCUGACGCAGCUAUGCAACCAUAUGUAUCUAAUACAGGGGUAGUCAACCUGGUUCCUACCGCCCAAUAGUGGGUGGUUUCUGAUUUCAGGUGGGAGGUGGUGGGUUCUGCAGAAAAUGGCCAGUGGGCCUCGAUGGCCGUGGACCAAGUCUGGCCCAAGGUUCAAGGUCAUCUCCCCUGCCGGCCCAAGCAGAGCCAGCCUUGCUGUAAGCCCUCUCGGGCUGGUGAGGAGAUCAUAGAUCUCCCUCACCGGCCCGCUGGCACUUAGUUGCAGCAGGGGAACCUUUUCUCCAGAGGGAGGAAAAAGCCUGGGAGGCUCUGUGUUCCUCCCGCGAGCAGCAUUGCCGUUCAUUACCAUGGCAUCACUCCGAUACAGUGCUGUGCUCGCAGGAGGACAGGAGAGUCAGUCUGCAGCCGGAGGCUGAACAUGCCACCACUGGACCACCAGUGCUUGCAGCAUUAUGCCCCUCCUCCCUGGCAAAACAUAAGAAGAAGAGAGUGGGAGACAUUAAGAUAGAUUUUUCACAUCUUACCCACCUAUAUACAGCAUAGACCCUAUGCAUCCUUUACACACAAACACACACUAAUCCCUCACACACUAACCACCCCCUCACACACACACCACCCAAUCACACACCUUCUGCCCCCUCACACACACUGCACCUCUCGAACACACACACACACACACAGUGGCGUACACACAAUAUAUGGGGCCCAAGUGUGAAACUGAUCCGUGGGCCACUCCACACCCCGACACAUACAUAGAGGUACACAUACAUACAUACAAACACAUAGACACAGACAGACACAUAUAUACACACAAACAGAUACAUAAAGACAGACACAUAUAUACACACACUGACACACACACACACUUUCCCCCCCCCGACAGACACAUAUGUACAUACACACACACACACAGACAUACACACAUACAGACACACACACCCCCCCCCGACGGACAUACACACAGACACAUACAUACAGAGACACACACACAUACAUACACAUAUAGUCUGUAUGUAUGUGUGCAUCUCUGUAUGUAUGUGUCUGUAUGUGUCUCUGUAUGUAUCUGUAGUAUACAGACACAUACAUACAGAUACACACACACAGAGACACAUACACACAGAGACACAGACACAUACAUAUAUACAUACAUACAUACACACAGACAUACAGACAGACACCCCUAACAGACACAUACAUACAUACAUACACACACACACAUACAGACACAACCCCCUAUUUCCUACCUUUUUCAGGAGGGUGACUUCCCUGGAGUCCAGUGUGGGCUCAGCCUGAUGGUAGGCUCCUCCUUCCUCCCUCUCUGAUAGCUGGGAGGAGUGACGUGCAGUCACUUACUCUCAGCUAUGUCUGACAUCAUCAAAGGGGGCCCAGUCGUGCUUUUAAAGUGCCCAACGCUGACUGGGCCCCCUUACAAUCCAUUUCCAUUGGGUGGCCCUAACAGCAUGGUCCACCCGAUGGACCCCUUGGACGUCAGCCCCGGGCCGCAAAAGAUGGCGGCGGGUACCCGGUCGCAGGGGUCCACAGAGCGGCCAGGCCCCCUAGAGUGACGGGCUCGGUCGCAGCUGUGACCGCGGUGUGUAUACCAGUGCACACACUCACAAACACACAGCACCGCACUUGCGCUUUAAAAUUAGUUACUGCGGCACUGGUGAAGGGAAUUUUAACAUCAACAAGGAUACAAAAGUGAGCAGUAGGUAUUAAAAGGUUGACUACCCCUGAUCUAGUACAAUAGAGCUACAUUUUAUAGUUCUUAAGACAGUGUGACUGUCAAGACAGUUUUGCCAGAUGUGGGACAGUUCCACUUAUGAAUAAUGGUGCAUAUUCACCUUGUAAAAACAAGAGCUAUUCUAAAGCAAAAUGCUAACCAAGAAACAAUUAUCUGCUAUUAUGCCUAAUGAUUUGAACAACUACCUACAUGCAUGGUAAAAUCUCUGCUAUUAAGGAAAGGCCAUUUACGGUAUUUAUAUUUGUGAUUAUAUAUUUACAUCAUGUUCAUAUUACCUAAUAUAUAUGCUAAGAACUCUUAUUGACACCCAUCUGCAAUUUAGCAAUUAUUUAGACUACACCAGUAUCUGUAAUAUGUGGGUGGAAGAGUGGUUUUCCCAUCUUCUCACGGAGGAGAAAAUAGCAAAAACUGGGGCUCUGUACAGUGUAUGUGAUAGUGAAGAGUGAGUAGAAUGAGCAGUGUGUAACAAUGAUUAGUAUGUUAAAGUACAGAUUUAAGUGAGUAGUGUAUGACUUUGUUGGAUCAGUUAAAUUUUGUAUAGUACUAAAAUUAUUAUUUUACUGUCAAACCAAUUUAUUCUUCAUGUAAAAUCAUUCAUAUUUAUUUCUGGUACAUUAACACUAGAGAAAAAAUGGUCUCCAGCACUGGAAGGCAUCGUAGGCCUGGAGGUGAUAAUUACUGUGGACCUAAUUAUGCAAUUUUGUUUGUUAUUCUGGUAUCUUGCUAUUCAAAGAGCGUUAGCCUGUGCUUUUAUAAACUGGACAUUUUAAGCACAUUACACCCAUCUUCACAAGCAGGCCAAAGCAUAGAAAUAGAUUGAAUGAUGGAGAGAAAUAGGUAUAAUGUGCCACUGCCUAUGUGUCAUGGUGCACAUAAAACUCAUCCUAUUACUAGUGAGGCAUAGAGGGACUGCUAACAAUGGACAUAUAUCGGCCCCUCAUAUGUCAGAUUUGUAUAUACAGUAUCAAAAUUAUAUUUUGCACUUCACGUUUUAUAGACCGUGCAUACCAUGUAACAGUUCAAGAAGAAUAUCUGUGGCUCACUGAACACCGCAAAGUUGCAGCAGAUCAAAAAUGAAUAGAUAAAUAUUAUCAGAAUAUAAAUGUCAGUCAACUCAAGUAAUUUGCAGUGUAUGGGUCUGGAGUUUCACCACCAAAAUUCCGCUUAUCCGAGGAGUCACUAGCUUUUGCACUCCAAAAGAAAAGGUUGAGCUACAAAGACAUUGGGAGUUAUGUAUAAAAAGUAAAAAUGGAGUAGUUAACAAUAGACUGUAAAUGCUAGUUCAACUGGUUUCCAUGAUGAUUGCCACUCAUUUGAUAAUGUUUUAUACGUAACUACCAUUUAGUCUUUUUUUCAACUUCAGUUAAGACGUACAAAAUAUUUGGAGAAAAAAAAUCAGAACUCUGAGGUCUUCAUUUAUAAAGUAGGCCCAGUGCUACCUAAGGUGGUACAGGUGGCCGCUUAGUGUACACCACACAAUUGUUUAGGUGACAGUGAACUGUCCGUACUGCAGAGCUGGACUGACCCAUCGAGAUACUUUUCAGUGGGCCACUCUAGGCGGGGUAAAAAAAUGAUACAAUGUGUGAAAAAAGGUGCUUAACAGUUAUGAAAUGGUAAAACAACAAUCCGUGGACACUCCCCAAAAAUCCACAUAUACAGAAAUACCAAAUACAAAUUAAAUGUUUAGGUAAUAAGACCUACCAAAAAAACAAAGAGUGUUAAUGAAGCGCUUGAGAAUAACGCUUACCUUAUAAACAUCGGGGUAUCAAGGGGUAUAUUGUAUAGAAACAUAGAAUGCGUAUCCCAAGCAUGUGUUAACCUCUACCACUUCAGCUGGAAGGCUAUUCCAUGCAUCCACUCCCCUCUUAGUAAAGUAAUACUUCCUGAUAUUAUCUGUAAACAUUUGCCCCUCUAAUUUAAGACUAUGUCCUCUUGUUGUGGUAGUUUUUCUUCUUUUAAAUAUAGUCUCCUCCUUUACUGUGUUGAUUCACUUUAUGUAUUUAAAUGUUUCUAUCAUAUCCCCCCUGUCUUGUCUUUCCUCCAAGCUAUACUUGUUAAGAUCCUUUAACCUUUCCUGGUAAGUGUUAUCCUGCAAUCCAUGAACCAGUUUAGUAGCCCUUCUCUGAACUGUUUCUAAAGUAUCAAUAUCCUUCUGGAGAUACGGUCUCCAGUACUGCAUACAAUACUUCAAGUGAGGUCUCCUCAGUGUUCUGUACAAUGGCAUGAGCACUUCCCUCUUUUUACUGCUAAUGCCUCUCCCUAUACAACCAAGCAUUCUGCUAGCAUUUCCUGCUGCUCUAUUACAUUGUCUGCCUACCUUUAAGUAAUCGGAAAUAAUCACCCCUUAAUCCCUUUCCUCAGAUGUUGAGGUUAGGACUGCCACAACUCUGACCAUUUUUCUAGUUUACCUAAAUCAUUUGCCAUUUGGAUUAUCCCUCCUGGAACAUCAACCCUGUUACAUAUCUUAGUAUCAUCAGCAAAAAUACAUACCUUACCAUCAAGACCUUCUGCAGUAUCACUAAUAAAAAUAUUAAAGAGAAUGGGUCAAAGUACAUCCCUGAGGUACCCCACUGGUGACAAGCCCAUGCUUCGAAUAUACUCCAUUGACUACAACCCUCUGUUACCUGUCACUCAGCCAUUAUUGAUAAGCCUUCUAUGUGCAACAGUGUCAAAAGCCUUACUGAAAUCUAGGUAAACAAUGUCUACUGCACCACCCUGAUCUAUUAUUUUAGUUACCCAAUCAAAAAAAUUAACAAGAUUAGUUUGGCAUGAUCUCCCUGAAGUAACCCCAUGUUGUCUCUGAUCUUGAAAUCCAUGUGAUUUUAGAUGUUCAACAAUCCUAUCUUUUAACAUGGUUUCCAUUACUUUCCCCACUACUGAAGUAAGAUUUACUGGCCUAUAGUUGUCCGACUCCUCCGUACUACCUUUCUUGUGAAUGGGCACAACAUUCUCUAACUUCCAAUCUUCUGGGACUACUCCCGUUAACAAUGAUUGGUUAAAUAAAUCUGUAAAUGGUUAUGCUAGUACACCACUAAGCUCUUUUAAUAACUUUGGGUGUAUUCCAGCAGGUCCCAUUGACUUGACGUAUUUGUCUUUACUUUUGACAGUUGAAAUAGAACCUCUUCUUUUGUAAACUCACUAGACAGUUCAUGAAAGUUUUCGUGCUCAGCUAAAAGAUUUCAUACGUAUAUUUAUAACUAUGUGUCACAGAAUGCCCUCUCAGAGCAGAUGUAAGAGUGUCUCCCCAAAUCUAUUUUCUAUACCAACGUCCCUCAUUUCUAAGAGCUCCAAAAUGUUAGUGUGCCUGAGUAUAUGAUGGAACUCCACAGUAAUAACAUUUUUAAAAGUGUUUUAAACUACAAGAAAUGUGUUUAGAAAGAAGCAUUGUUCUUCUUAAAAUUACAUUUUAGUUACAUAUAAAUUACAAUUAGCAAGUUACAAAAACAUGCUCAGUGAAGCCCUACCUCUGACCACACCUCCACUCACACUCCUAAAAUUAAAGUGUCUCUAUUUUUUCAUUUGACAUGUUGGUUGGUAUGUAUUACACAAGCUUUGCAAGCUACUACAUACUGGAUAAUUAAUAUUAAGAGUGUUCUAAUAUAGGCCUCAAUUUAAUUAGUUUAAAUCAGAAAUUAUUCCAAAUGUUUAUGAUUUAGCUACAGAAUAAUUACCUAGAGAAACUUCUCUUUGAGUUUUGGGAAGUCUGUGCCCAGCCACAGAAAGCAUGAGUUGGGCAAAUAGGACAGCUUGCAACAGUUGCAAACAAAGAAAUCUGCAACUAAUGCAAGUUGUUUUUAGAUAUACCCCCAAAUAAAGUAAAUGCAUAAUUAAAUGCAUCCAUUUUUCUUUGGAGGAUUAUCAUGUUUUCAUUGGGUAAUUCAUUUCUUUCUCUCUAUUUUGGCAGUGAAGUGUUCUUUUAAAGUCUAUGAGAACUUUUUGUAGAUACUCAUUUGAAACAUGUUUCCUAACAGAAUGGAAUAAAUUCCAAUUCUGAUUCAAACAAAUUAAAUUGAGGCUAUAGUCAUUUGAUGAUCUACAACUUCGGGUAUCAUUUAUCUAAACCGGGGGUUUCCCACCCAGUCCUCAAGUACCCACUAACAGUCCAAGAUUUAGGGAUUACCCAGUUGUGUCUAAG